ensembl:lncRNA
AACCGUCCCUGCGCCAUCCGCGGAGGGGUCCACGUACCUGGGCGUCCGGGGGCCUCUGACGCGCGCGGCUCCUCUGCCUGGGCUUCACCGGCGCUGAGACUGGACGAGACCGCAUGGAGGUCGCCGCCCGCCCCGCAGGGGAGCGCGUUGUGGGAGGUGCCGCCCGCCUCUCGCUCCUCCCAUCCCUGUGGCCGCCGGACCCCGGGCCCUCCCAACUCCCCCCUGACGUCUCGGCUUCUGCCUGCUUUCUAAAACACUUUCUUUUUAAAAAAACAGCCUAUAACACUUUCUGGUGGGUGUGGACACGCCCCCGCCCGAGCGCGUGCCCCGGGGCGGGCUGCGCGAGACCCUGCACAGCUACUUGCGCCCCGCCCUGCUGCGCCCUGGCCGGGGUAGGGGACCCCUACAUCCCGGCCCGAGGCCACAGAAACCUGCACCCCAUGCAUAGCCCUGGGGGAGGCCACUAAGACUGAGAGUGUGAGCCAAGGGCUGAAAGCCACAGCCACACACUCAAUCCACUUCACACGGACACGCAAACACGUGUAGAUGCACAGAGAAGCAGACACACUCCUGAGCGGCGUAGCAAAGACGCUCUCCUGCCGUAAGGUGCACCAACAGCCUUAGAAAGCUCUUCUGAGUUCAGCAUUAAAUUUUAAGAAAACCCACAACCUUUUAAGGCUAAAAUGAAGAUUUAGCAUCAGCAAAGAUUGUCCACUGGGUCGUUAUUUGCAUGUCUUUCAAAUCUCUGUGGUUAAAAAGACAAGGAAAGGGGAAUGUUAAAUAUUUUAAAUCAAGAGACAAAAAGUAAUUGAACAGCUUCUAUGUGGGCCCGUUAAAGUUGAUCCAAAGUCCAGAACAAGUCCCUGAUGGCUGAUAAUGGCCUUCUAUUUUUUUAAUGACAAAUAAUGGAAAACUAUGAAAGAACUAAGUAUUGCUCUACCUUUUUCUUUCUUUGGAGACUAACUCUUGCUCUGUCAUCUGGAGUUCAGUAACUUUUUCCCAGCUCGCUGCAGGCUCGGCCUCUUGGGUUCAAGGGAUCCUCUUGCCUCAGCCUCCGAGUAGCUAAGACUACAGGCACGCGUCAACAAGGCGUAGAGACAAAGUCUCUGCGUUGCCCAGACUGGUCUGGAACUCCUGGACUUAAGCGAUCCUCCCACCUUGGACUCCAAAGCUGCUAGGAUUACAAGGGGGUAUGCCACCAUGCCUGACCUUACCUAUUUUUUUUUUCAUAAGAGAAUAAAUAGUAUGACCAUAAAUACGGAAAACACACAAAGACCCUUCAGCUGCAAACAACAGCUUCCUUGGUAGUGUAUACAGCCUGUUUCUUGUAUGGGCUGCUCUAAGGGACCGUGGAGACAGGCCUUUCAGAUGUAUGUUCAUGUCUCUGAUCUUGCACUACGCCAGUGUAGGCUCCACUCAGGCAUUCGAGGUGCCUUUGGAAAGCUCCAGAGCACUGUGGCCAGGGUUCACAUUGGCCAAGUUAUCAUGUCCAUCUGCAACAAGCUGUAGAACAAGGAGCAUGUGAUUGAGGCCCUGCGCAGGGCCAAGUUCAAGUUCCCUGGCUGCCAGAAGAUCCACAUCUCAAAGAAAUGGGACUUCACCAAGUUCAAUGCGGAUGAAUUUGAAGACAUGGUGGCUGAGAAGCGGCUCAUCGCAGAUGACUGUGAGAUCAAGUACAUCCCCAUCAUGGCCCUCUGGACAAGUGGCAUGCCCUGCCCUCGUGAGGGCUUCCACUGUGCUGCCCCCUCUUAAUACUCACCAAUAAAUCCUACUUCCUGUCCAGCAAAAACAAACAAAAACCCUUCGGAAUUUUGGUUCAUUCUAUUUGAUUGUUGCUGUUACAUUACUAGAAAUCAGUAUUAAAAGUUUUCUCUGUCUGGGGGCGGUUGCUGAAGCCUGUAAUCCCAGCGUUUUGGGAAGCUAAGGUGGGCAGAUCACCCGAGGUCAGGAGUUCGAGGCCAGCCUGACCAACAUCGAGAAACCCCAUCUCUACUAAAAAUACAAAAUUAGCCAGGUGUGGUAGUGCAUGCCUGUAAUCCCAGCUACUCAGGACGUUGAGGCAAGGAAUCACUUUAACCCGGGAGGUGGAGGUUGUGGUGAGCCGAGAUCUCGCCAUUGCACUCCAGCCUGGGUGACAGAGCAAGACUCUGUCUCAAAAAAAAAAAA